GUGGCUCCAGGUUUGUUUUUCUCCGGUACAGCCUGGUAGGGAGGGCUCCCGGCAUCUCCCUGCUUCGGGGCAGAGGAUGCCGGGGGUAGAGUACGGGAGGGCUGGAGCGAGGGUGGACUGGAGGUGCCGCUUGUCCUGGAGGUGGGAGAGAGGGAGCGGCUUUGCCGCCUGGCCUGCGUCCUAAUCCUGUCCUGGUUCUUCUGCUCCCGAAGGGAACGUAGGUCCCGCGCCUGUGAUAAGUAAGGUUGGAUUUUCUCUUCCCUGAGGUGAAGGAUGCCCGGAGGCCUCGGCAGGACCGUGCGGAAACGGGCCUUCUGCCCAAAAGAUGCUGCUUCUCUCCUUAUUCUUUCCCCUCAGAAUCUCGCUGUCUCCUUCCAACCACCUGUGGUCGGCAUCCCCGCGUUGUCACUGCGACGCAGAGGCGAGCGAGGUGGCGGGAAGCACCCGCGGGGCGGGGAGGGACCCUGCGGGCGCGGACUCCACACCAAGCCUCUGCUCAGCGUCACCCCGCUUGCUGUGUCCUCGCAGGUCGCAGCUUCAUGGCCUGAUGCCUUCAGGAAGUAUUUUGAAGUCAUCGUGGCUGUGGAUUGGGGGAUUUCUUGUUUCCACUGACCUGUGAGGCCGCGCACGUGGAGGGAGGCACCCCGGGUCCUCCGGCACUGUCCGGCCUCGCCUGUGUCCCUAGUAGCAGUGGGCAUUUCCAGACGGUGCAGCUUGUGGCUAAAGUGACAGGAAGAUGUAGGAGCUUUCAGUCUUGGAUGAGGAUUCGAACUGAAGGGCUUAGGCCCAGCUGUCUUGGAGCAAAACAUCUGUUGUGGGGUGAGAAGGGAAAGGAGGGGUGAGGGUGCAGGGGCCCUCCUAGGAGGACAUCGGACCUGUUGGGCCGAGACCUCAUUAGAGAUCUAGAGCACGGAUGGGAGGAGCAGAGGCUCGAUUUGUGUCCUGUUCAGACUCCCACAGGCUGGGUGAUGGUGGGAGAUUUGUGCCCAUUCAGAUGUGGCGGCAGAGGAGGGCAAGGCCGAAGGAGCAGACAGCACCGCUUCUUGGGGAGUUGUGAAGGCAUCAUGCGGAGGGCCGAGCUUAGCAGCCAAGUGGAGGACAGCACCCUCCAUGCCUGGAUUCGUUACUCGCUCGUUCUCGAUGUUGAGCUGCUGGCAUAUUGCAGCACAACUAGAGAUGUACGGAUGCCCCCAUCUUGAUCUUACAGAAUCAGAGGUGCAGCCGCAAGAAAGGUCUGUAAGUUAUCUAUUUCGGCUUUAUUUAAAAGAUGGGAUGGGGUGGGGUGGACAGGAAACAAGCUUAACAUGUUAAGUGACUGUUGACAUUGACACAUUUUGUUGUGGCAGAGUCAAGAACAGACACUGAGUCGCUUGAGGACUCAGGCAGGUGUUUGCUGCAUUGACAACAGAGUAAGAAAAAAUCCGUUUGCUUUUUAAAAUCCAAAGAUGGUUUUGAGAACCUGAAACCAAGUUAGAGCAAGUUCGUUUUCCUUCCAAAAAAACUGGGCUCUGCCGGGCGCAGUGGCUCACGCCUGUAAUCACAGCACUUUGGGAGGCUGAGGCCGGCAGAUCACGAGGUCAGGAGUUCGAGACCAGCCUGACCAACAUGGUGAAACCCCGUCUUUACUAAAAAUACAAAAAAUUAGCCCGACGUGGUGGUGCGCACCUGUAGUCCCAGCUACUUGGGAGGCUGAGGCAGGAGAAUCACCUGAACCCAGGAGGCAGAGGUUACAGUGAGCCAAGACUGUGCCAUUGCACUCCAGCCUGGGUGACAGGGCAGGACUCUGUCUCAAAAAAGCAAACAAAAAAAAACUGGGCUGAAAAAUACCACAUCACUUUUUUCAAAACCUUGUUGGGAUUCUCUGGUUUAUAAUAAAGAUUAAAACCUGAAUAUUUUUGUUUAGCAUCAGUUUUAAUGAAAGUAUUAUGUUCCAUUCUUUGGCUUUUCCUAACUUGCUUAAUUAGUUUAAUAUAUUGGUUUGCAUACUCUGUUAGAGUACAGCAUAAGUUGUUUAUAAGUCAGUAGAAAACCAAACGUUUUCACAUUUGAAAACUAAUGUGUCCAAGCAGUACAUAACCAUGCCAGAGUCAUGCAUGGACGUGUGAGUAUCUCCCUUUUAGAGAUGUUUUGCCAGCUGGGAGGUGGACAUUUUUAGGCAAGUGACAUUUCUCAUGUUCUUUUCUUGUUUGUAAGCUACACCCUCUCGGUUUUCUCUGCUCUGCCAACACUAGUGGAAUAUGAUCACAUCCCAGAGUUUCACUCUUUUUGCCCAGGCUGGAGUACAGUGGUGCGAUCUUGGCUCACUGCAACAUCUGCCUCCUGGAUUUUCAAGUGAUUCUCCUGUCUUAGCCUCCUGAGUAGCUGGGAUUACAGGGAUCAGUGUCAUUUAGGGAUGUGACUAUGGGCUUCACUCAAGAGGAGUGGCAUCAUCUGGACCCUGCUCAGAGGACCCUGUAGAGGAAUGUGAUGCUGGAGAACUACAGCCACCUUGUCUCAGUAGGGUAUUGCAUUCCUAAACCAGAAGUGAUCCUCAAAUUGGAGACAGGCAAGGAGCCAUGGAUAUUAGAGGAAAAAUUUCGAAGCCAGAGUCAUCUGGGUGAGUUAGUGCCAGAUGGAAUUUAAAGAAUUAAUUAAUACCAGUAGAAACUAUUCAAGAAUGAAGUUCAAUGAGUUUAACAAAGGUGGAAAAUGUUUCUGUGAUGAAAGCAUGAAAUAAUUCAUUUUGAAGAGGAACCUUCUGAAUAUAAUAACAAUGGGAACAGCUUCUGGCUGAAUGAAGACCUCAUUUGGCAUCAGAAGAUUAAAAAUUGGGAGCAACCUUUUGAAUACAAUGAAUGUGGGAAAGCUUUCCCUGAGAAUUCACUCUUCCUUGUACAUAAGAGAGCUUACACAGGACAGAAAACAUGCAAAUAUACUGAACAUGGGAAAA
ensembl:lncRNA ZNF37BP zinc finger protein 37B, pseudogene